CCUACGGGAGGCAGCAGUGAGGAAUAUUGGUCAAUGGACGAGAGUCUGAACCAGCCAAGUAGCGUGCAGGACGACGGCCCUAUGGGUUGUAAACUGCUUUUAUAAGGGAAUAAAGUGAGAGUCGUGACUCUUUUUGCAUGUACCUUAUGAAUAAGGACCGGCUAAUUCCGUGCCAGCAGC
rnacentral:rRNA from 1 species